CCUCUGGUAAAGAGAAUCGCGAACUUGAUUAUGUACCAGAGGUUCUCUAGAUUUCGGCAUACGGUUCGUAUCGGAGUAAGUGGCUCCGCGUAUAAAUUUUUUUAAAUCUUCUGUCAGCUUUCACGCAGAUUUGAUUAUUUAUUAGUGGAUAGUUUAUAAUAUUUGUCGACUUGGCUCUUAAUUGGACUCGCUUUUUGGUUUACGUUUGGAUUUUUUUUAUUUGAGCUUCUCUUUAUCACGAUUUAUUUUCGUGACAUGUGACGAUUACGUGAUUGUGUUUGGAGCAAUGGAACUUGGGAAUUUGGUUGCUGCUACGUGUGCAAAUCCUGUGGAAAUCAUGUCCCGAUGGAUUUCCAGCCCGCUGAGGGAUCUGUUGACCGCGAUAUAGCGGAGUCGGUAAAUACUCUGGGUGGAGAGUGUAAUACGCUACUAUUGCAGAGUGGAUCUGCUAUGUCUGCGUCGAGGGGCCCAAAAAAAUGCGUUCGGACGAGGGUGUUAGUCCUGGUACUCCGACCAGAAGGAUCUGGAUGUUCCGCCUCCCCUGCUUCUGCUGAUAUCUCUGUUGUUCCUGUUAUCUCUGUCGUCCGGGCGUCAUUGUUUCAUCUGCUGCUUCCACAUCCUUCCUGCCAUCUCCUUCUGAUGCUACCUUACAUCCAUUGAUGCCCAUGGCGCUUGGUAACAGAAGCUAUGCACGAUCGUAUUAGAGAAUUUAUGGGCGUGUCAUACGAUCUAAAGACACUCGCUCGACUCUCGAGGAGAGCCUAAAUUAAUAAUGAAACCAGCUGAUGUGACGUGUGCGGAUAUUCUGAACAAGCCAGUGGUUAGGGGAAGCAAGGUUUCUCUGGCUUCGGGCGGUCCGCGUAGCUCAUAGGACAACUCGCGGUCUUCACCGUCCGUCCUCAACAAGGCGAAUAGCCGCCCUAGAUUUCUUGGGAGCGUCCCGAUUGCCCUUUUUUUUUUUUGAUAACACAGGGGAAAAUGCGUUACGCAUCCCUCAAAGACCCGGGGAAGUCUAGAGUACGAUUGCCUAGAGUACGAUUGCACACAAACCAAUUGAUGACAAGAAUUAUCUAGAUCUAGAUAGAAUUACUAGAUCAAACCAAUCAUUACAAUUUGUGGUCAAUUGUACUGUCGGCAAUCGGGACCCUCCCGGUUCCUUGUUUCUUUACAGAUUGUCAAGAAAAAAAAAGGCAGAAAGGAAAAAACUUUCUUCUGUUAGUAGGAAACCUGUAACGGUGGUGGAAGAUAUCAACAAGAAUACGAGACUGGCCGCUCAGAGAUGGAGAAACGAUAAAUUUAAAAUUGAUAGGUCACCCUCGGGAGAAACUCUGGGAGGUGGUGCCAUUACUGACUUAGCAGGGGAUAAAGAUGUGGAAUCUUAUGAGAUAACGCUUAAAAAUGGCUAGACAAUGUGGUGGGGAUACUCGUCAUAGUCUAUCCUUGAUACAUCGGAAUGUCCGCUCCUUGAUGGCUAGGAGGGAGGAUCUUGUUGGCCUUGUUAGUGAGUCGGUUCCGGAUGUUGUAUGUAUAUCGGAAACCAGGAUUCCUCGAGCCUUGGCGGAUUUGCCCAUCUGUCCAGUAAGGGGGUACUCGUUUUUGAACUCCCGAAGACUGGUGGAUUCUGGCGGAGAUAUAAUGAGGAGGGACGAAAAUUGGAAUCUGCGAUUGCACUUUCCAGCUUCGUGAAUAUCAGCAAUGGGCAACCCACCUGGAUAUCGGCUUGUGAGAUCCAGAUCAGUGCUGGAUUACCUUUAUUUCCUCGGUCCUUUGGCCCUGACCACCUAUUGUGAGAAAUUUUUGCUCGAGAAUUAAUCCCCGUACCAACAUCGCCCAAAUGUGGAGAUCUCUCAGAGCUUUUAAGAACCGUCGCUCUUUGGCAUCGAAACUGGACUUCAAGGUUAGAACGUCUUCCGCUUCCGCGGCCUUUGACAAGGCUGUACCGCGACAACCGAUAGUUGCAGACCCCGCUCGUCUCCCCGAAGACUAUAUUAUCAGAGAGAGCGGCCACGCCAUGUUUUAGGCGACAUUUUCAGACGAUGCCGGAAAGUAGCGAUUCGGUAAAGCGAGGAAACGCGCUUACCUCUGGAUGUCGCGGACAAGUACUUGUAUGCCAUCAAUAUUUUUUGCUUUCUUUCGUCAACUACAUAAGAUAUCGGUUUCGUUAAAAAAACACUGACUUCUCCUAAUUUUAAUGUAUUCGAAUUAGUGGUUUAUAAUAUUACGAAUAAUACCAUUGCUUUAAGUAAAACAAUGUGUAAGUGCGUAAGCGAAUUUUUCUUUUAUUCAAUUAAUAUCACUUUUAUAGAGUUUCACAAUCAGUUAUAUUUGUCAAAGUUACCAGUUCCUUUGGAUUUUGAUUUCGUAUCUUUUAUGGCGCGAUUAUCGGUUAUUUUUUAUAUCGAAACUUCAUGUCAAGCAUACUUUUCUUCGCUUGUGUCAAUUAGAGAUGGAGUAAAUGAUGUAUGUCUUAACCGUCAAA